GAAAAAAAACCCUCAAGGCAGCUGUUACCUUUAUCUCCUUCCCUUUUUUUGUUUUUUUAAAUAAUAAUAAUAAAAAAUAAAUAAUACCAGGAAAUGGAACUGCUAACCGGCGACCGGCGAGUUCCGAACUCUACUACUGACUUCGCCCAACGCAUAUUUCCUUUCCAGGCAACCGGAAACCUUCUCAUCUCCAAUCCAAUGGC
rnacentral:misc_RNA from 1 species